GGGCGCUUAGCUCAGUUGGUAGCAGCAUCGGCCUUUUAAGCCGAGGGUCCAGGGUUCGAGUCCCUGAGCGCCUACCA
rnacentral:tRNA from 1 species